rfam:Myotis davidii contig104614, whole genome shotgun sequence.
GGCAGUUCUCAGGUGACACACCCUGGAAUUGGGCUCCCUCCUCUCUGGUUCCGGGUGCGUCACCUGAGAACCGCA